CGCAUCAUGGUCUAGUGGUUAUGACAUCUGCUUGCCAAGCAGAAGAGCUCGGGUUCAAUUCUCGAGUGGCGCGGCCA
rnacentral:tRNA from 1 species